rnacentral:misc_RNA from 1 species
AGCAGCAACUCUGUUAUCCUCUGCUUUUGGAAUCACCUAUAACUAUAAACUUUCAGCUGGAAAUGAGGUUUUGCAAAUUCACUGCGAAUUUGCGCAUUCCCAUUGGAGACACUUCAAGAGAUAGUGUUUUUCAUUCCCUGAUUGCUGAAGGAUCCAAUAGGUUUGGCAAGAAUGUGUGACAUUGCUUUGACUGAAAGAGGGUUAUUCUCGCUGAUUGAGCAGGUGCCGGCUUUAACAUUGCAGACAGGAUAAUCAUGUGGGCAGCAACUGCUAUGGUCUUUACAGCAAGUAGCUCCUUCCAUAGGGCAGCAACCCCAAGCAAA